rnacentral:rRNA from 1 species
UAUACAUGAGCAAAAUCUCAACUUUUUUAGAAGAGAUGCAUUUAUUAGAUAAAAAAUCAAUACAUGCUUUUAUAGUAUGGAAUUUGGUGAUUUACAAUAACUUAGCAAAUCGCAUAGUGAAAACCGGCGAUAAAUCAUUCAAGUUUCUGACCUAUCAGCUUUCGACGGUAUGGUAUUGGCUUACCGUGGCAUUGACGGUUAACGGGGGAUUAGGGUUCGAUUCCGGAGAGGGAGCCUGAGAAACGGCUACCACAUCUAAGGAAGGCAGCAGGCGCGCAAAUUACCCAAUUCUAACAGCAUAAGAGAGGUAGUGACAAGAAAUAACAAUACAAGGCAGUUAAAAUGCUUUGUAAUUGGAAUGAUAGAAAUUUAAACACUUUUUAAAGUAUCAAUUGGAGGGCAAGUCUGGUGCCAGCAGCCGCGGUAAUUCCAGCUCCAAUAGCGUAUAUUAAAAUUGUUGCAGUUAAAAAGCUCGUAGUUGAAUUUCUGCUAAAAAUAACCGGUCUGCUUUUAAUAAAGGUGGUAUCUUGGUGUGUUUUUAGCAAUAAUGUCCUUUGAAAUGUUUUUUACUUCAUUGUAAUAAAUUAUAUUCAGGAUUUUUACUUUGAGAAAAUUAGAGUGUUUCUAGCAGGCUAACGCUUUGAAUACUGCAGCAUGGAAUAAUAAGAAG